rnacentral:rRNA from 1 species
CGUCGAACGUAAGAUGACUGUAGGUGAAAGACUUACAUCUCUUCGGAGCAUUUACGAGGUGCUGCAUGGUUGUCGUCAGCUCGUGCCGUGAGGUGUCGGGUUAAGUCCCAUAACGAGCGCAACCCCUAUCAUUAGUUGCCAUCAGGUCAAGCUGGGGACUCUAAUGAAACUGCCUACGCAAGUAGUGAGGAAGGUGGGGAUGACGUCAAAUCAGCACGGCCCUUACGUCCAGGGCUACACACGUGCUACAAUGGCCGGUACAAAGGGCAGCUACCUGGUGACAGGAUGCUAAUCUCAAAAGCCGGUCUCAGUUCGGAUCGGAGUCUGCAACCCGACUCCGUGAAGCUGGAAUCGCUAGUAAUCGUGAAUCAGAAUGUCACGGUGAAUACGUUCCCGGGCCUU